ACUUCAGGUAGAAUUCAUGAAAUCUUUGCCACCUUUAUUGACGCUUUAUACCCAACUCAGCCUACUUUCGCGGCAAAAGAAUCUCUUAAACAAAAACUGACAAACCCUAAUUCUUCGACUACAAUCCCUAAUUCUGAAUAAUCCUCUUCCAAUUUCCAGAAAUUCCUGCCACUAAACCUCAGCGAUGUCGCACGAUUUAAUGCUGAAUGCCCUGAGGCUAACAUCUGGAUCAAACAAUUACGGUGGUACAUCUACUUCAGGCAUUCCUGCUUCAGCUACAACACCAUCGUCUAUGGAGGCUAGUACAUCUACUUCAGGCACGCUUGCUCAGGGCCCUAAAGAUCUUAGAAGAGGAAAUUGGAGCUAUAUUGUUGCAAUAUGGACCUGUAACCACUAGGGAUCUUGUGGGUGCAUUCAAAGAAAGAUUAAAGACACAACAGGAUUUAAUAGCAUUUGCUUACAUUUUGAAAAGGAUCUCCAGGUUGCUGAAGAUCGAUAACAAGAAUUAUGUUGUGCUAAAGGAAUGGGGCAAUAUAAGUAUAUAACCUGAUUAUUGUCUACUUUAAUCCAGCCAAAAAAAAAAAAAAAAAAAAAAAGAGAGAGAGAGAGAGAGAGAGAGAGACACGCUAUUGUUUAGAUUUGUGAACAACUUUUUUCCAUGGUAUCAAGAGAAAUGUAAAGAUGUAGAAUUCAUAUGCUGCCUAAACUCGUCAUACAGAUAAUGUUUGAUUAACAUCAGUGUGAAAAUAUCGUCUACAACUUACAAGACUACAAGGGGAUUGAUUUUUUCCAGAGCACAGAAAUCGAACGAACUCAGUUUAAAGAGUUUGCUGAGAUUAUCGGUUUCAUAAAAGAGUGCAACCUAAUGUUCUCAGGAGAAACUGUGGAUAUUGUUUUUUUGGGCGUGAAUGGUGAUCAUCAACUUUCAUAUAUAAACAAUCAUGUGAAGAGAUAAUCUGAACUAUUGUACAUUUUUUUUCAACAACUUUUUUCAGUUUUUUACCGCUAAGAGAGUUGCAAAGAAUAAAUGAUACCUACGGUAUGUGAUACGGAGUAUAAGGUCUCAACUCCAAUCCCACAUCUCAAGAUGUUAUGAGUAAGGUUCUCUUCUCUUCAGCUUA